GACGAACGCUGGCGGCGUGCUUAACACAUGCAAGUCGAGCGGUAAGGCCCUUUCGGGGGUACACGAGCGGCGAACGGGUGAGUAACACGUGGGUGACCUGCCUUUACGCUCUGGGAUAAGACCUGGGAAACCGGGUCUAAUACCGGAUAUGACUCCGCGGCGCAUGUUGUGGGGUGGAAAGCCUUGUGCGGCUGGAGAUGGGCCCGCGGCCUAUCAGCUUGUUGGUGGGGUGAUGGCCUACCAAGGCGACGACGGGUAGCCGGCCUGAGAGGGCGACCGGCCACACUGGGACUGAGACACGGCCCAGACGUCCUACGGGAGGCAGCAGUGGGGAAUCUUGCGCAAUGGGCGAAAGCCUGACGCAGCGACGCCGCGUGAGGGAUGACGGCC
rnacentral:rRNA from 1 species